CUCAGUGGUUCUGGUGCUUGCCUUGCAAGCACAAGUUCCCGAGUUCAAUCCCUGGUACCAAAAAAAAAAAAAAAAGUAUUACUCAGCUCCCUGGCAGAGUGGGGAAGUAGAAGGAGAGAGAAAAGGAUCAGUUGGUGCUGGUGAGAGUGAGCCAGAAAUGACUAAUUAAAAGGAACAAAAGGUCACAAUGCCAAAAGGAGUGAGAGGGUCUGCCUUGGAAAAUACAGGAGGGAGUUGAAUGUUUGAAAUUUUCCUUGAGAAUUUCUAGGGUGUUAAGAAAGGAGGCAAUGGAGAGAGAAAGGAGCCCCUGGUCAGACUCUUGUCUGGAUCCUUCUGGAGUGUGUGGUCCAGCUUUUCCUUGCGAGCUUUUACCUUGAGCUCGGAAGUCUUUCACUUUGAUUGAAGCACAUCAGCACUAAGUAGCUCUGAUUUUCCCCAUCAUCUAUUCACACACCAGCUGCCACUCUCUCUUCCUUUCGUUGGGCAGCUUUGCUACCAUUUAGAACAGCUGAGCAGAAAGGUGCUGAGGUCACAGAAAUCCAUCCUGAAAAUACCUCACCACCUCUCAGAGUGUGUUUCAUGGGGUUUCCCUUUGUCUUCAGAUGCUGGAACCUGCUGCGGGGUUGAAGAGCCAAGCCUGAACUUGGCUAUUUUGAUGAAAGAUUCUGCUUUCAUAGGUGCUUCUACUAAGGUACCUUCUAGCUGCUCAAAUAAACGGCACAGAGGUUCCCA
rnacentral:lncRNA from 1 species